rnacentral:sRNA from 1 species
AUUCUGCCCAAGCGGGGAAGGAUGAGAAGCUUCGACCAAGGUUCGACUUGAGCGCCAGCGAGAGAGCGUUGCCGCAGGCAACGA